GACACGGGUUCGAGCCCUGGUCCAGGAAGAUCCCACAUGCCGCAGAGCAGCUAAGCCCGUGCACUACAACUACUGAGCCUGCGCUCUAGAGCCCACGAGCCACAACUACUGAGCCCGCGUGCCUAGAGCCCGUGCUGCGCAACAAGAGAAGCCACCGCAAUGAGAAGCCCACGCACCACAACGAAGAGUAGCCCCUGCUCGCCACAACUAGAGAAAACCCCGUGCAUGGCAACGAAGACCCAGCGCAGCGAAAAGAUUUUCAAAAGUCAUAAAAGGAACGUGGAGUUGAGGGCUUGUCAGAUUUCUACUACUUCUCCCAACCAAGAUGUGGGAGAGUGAUGCGUCUGCACGAAGAAAAGGACACCGUGGAGACCUGGGCGAGUGGGACCAUAGCCUGCAAUGUGGAUCGCCAAUGAGCCAAUCACAUAAAAAGUGCAGUGAGAUCAUUAACAUCAAGUACAAAUUCACAUGUACCACGGAUGGGUAGAGUACCAAAAGGAACCGAGAGAACUGUCAGAAAGAAUCAGCCCAGCAGAGGACUGUCCAUUUACAAAGCAUCGUACGCAGCAGUAUUUGGAUUAUGAUGAAAAGUUCCACCUCCCCAGGUAGAGUCAGGUGCCCACUCUGAUGACUCGUUGCGCUACUGCCUUUGAUCUCCACUAUAGAAAAUGCUCUGCUCCAUCUCAAAAGGGAUUGCCGUGUGCCCCAUUAGCUGGCCUUUGGAUCAAACGAGCAGCAGACCUCACAGCUAGAAUUCCACCGUUGGCCAUUCACAAAGAGAU